CUGGCUCAGAACGAACGCUGGCGGCAGGCCUAACACAUGCAAGUCGAGCGGGCCCUUCGGGGUCAGCGGCGGACGGGUGAGUAACGCGUGGGAACGUGCCUUUCGGUUCGGA
rnacentral:rRNA from 1 species